rnacentral:tRNA from 1 species
CCACGACCCCGGCCAGGCCUGGGUGCUCGUGUUCGCGAUCACGAUGAUGGCGGGGCUGCUCGUCUCGCUGCUGGUGCGCCGCCGGCGGGUGUGGG